rnacentral:rRNA from 1 species
AUGUACCUUCAUGAGAAGGAAGGAGGCAAUCCGCGCCCGCCCCAAUACAUGCAAGCAUUCCAUGAAGUUGUUGAUGAUUGUGAGCUGCAUGAUCUUGGGUACCUCGGUGAUCCAUAUACAUGGCGUCGAGGUCGGAUCAGGGAACGUCUCGAUAGAGGGCUUGUGAAUGAUUUGUGGUCUGCCCGUUUCCCCCACGCGGCACUACAGAAUAUGGAGUUCAAUCACUCAGACCACAGACCGCUCCUUGUGGAUACUGAGUACUAU